CCAAUAGCGUAUAUUAAAGUUGUUGCAGUUAAAAAGCUCGUAGUUGAACUUCGGGAUCAAUGGAUCGGUCAUGCCGAUGGUAUGUACUGGUCAUAUUGGUUCUCACCUUCUAAGGAACCAUGAUGUCAUUCAUUUGAUGUUGUGGGGAAUUAGGACUGUUACCUUGAAAAAAUUAGGGUGUUUAAAGCAGGCUAACGCUUGAAUACAUUAGCAUGGAAUAAUGAAAUAGGACAUCGUAUUCUAUUUUGUUGGUUUCUAGGAUCGAUGUAAUGAUUAAUAGGGAUAGUUGGGGGCAUUAGUAUUCAAUUGUCAGAGGUGAAAUUCUUGGAUUUAUUGAAGACUAACUACUGCGAAAGCAUUUGCCAAGGAUGUUUUCAUUAAUCAAGAACGAAAGUUAGGGGAUCGAAGACGAUCAGAUACCGUCGUAGUCUUAACCAUAAACUAUGCCGACUAGGGAUCGGAUGAUGUUAAUUUUUUAAUGACUCAUUCGGCACCUUACG
rnacentral:rRNA from 1 species